UGAGACGUCUGUUUCCAUGGUAGCGGUAUAAGAACAGACCACAAAGAGGAAGAUUUCAAAAGCUCCAGUAACCUGUCUUCAGAAUUCUGUGGUUGCUAAUAAUCUCAGGAGACCCCGGAAUCCUAGGACAUACAGAAUCAGCAGUGAGAAAGGAAAAGAUCAAGCUCCAAUCUUUGCCCCUUCCUUCACACGGUGCUAAUAUGUGAGGACAAGACCAAAGAGACCCAUUAGCUAAGUUGUAUCCUAAAAAGAAGAUAGUUAAAACUAGUGAAUGGUGCUCGUAGUACUGUAUUUUGGUCAUAAUAACAGUACCUUCUCUCAGCAUUCUCAAUUAUAUUGAUAAAAUUAAUAUCUAAUAGAGGAUAUCUGUGCACGUCACCUUAAAAGAUAAAAUGUCUUCUAGGCUAUAAUGGAUAAAGAAAGACUUGACAGUAUUAACAUACUUUAAAAAAAAAGAAUGUAUCAAAAGAAUGGAGAGAGUCAGCAUGAAAUAUGGUAAACAUGGAGUGAAAGAAGAAGAUUUUGGCGGCGUUUAUCCAUGUUGUCUAGAAAAUGGAAAGAGACUGAAUCUGAGGGAGAAACACUGAAUCUGGAGAAACACCAAAGUGGUCAUUACUUAUAUCUCUAUUGUGGGGUAGAGAUUUUUUAUUGGGUUUUAUCAUAACUUGAAUGAAAUCUCUCCCUGGUUUAUACAGUUUCUGUGCUUGCCAAGUAAUUUUUAAUUUCUAAAUUUGCUUCUUGAUUAACAAGCUGCCAAGAAGCAGAUGCAAGCAUACUAUUCACUGUGGAGGUGUACCCUCCAUUGUAAAUUAAUAUAUUUUCAUGAGAUUGGAAGAUCCGAUCAGUGCUCAUGGCCAUGGUUUUUACUUUAAAUCAGUAAAUUUGACCUUCUGGCUAUGUAUCAUUUAUUGAGAAUUUGAGGUCCACGAGCUCAGACUCAUGAAUAAAACCAACUCAGGAAAAGAGACCACAACCUGGACAAUGAUGCCACAUCUCAUGAGAUUGCCCAAGUAACUAGCUCUAACCCCAGUUGAGAAGCAGGAUGAAGAGUCCAGUACAGAGUGGGUUGCAUGGAUCAUGAAGCUUAGGGGUGUUCUUUUUAUUGAGUGCUUGGCAUACGACGUGAGGAAGGGUAAAGGCAGAAAAUACAUCCCAUCAAUAAGAAGCUUCAGGUAUCUCACGAUAUCAAGAUGGGAGAAAAAUGAUAAUAACCCACUGGUUACACAUUCAGAAGAAAACCAGAUAGUUCAGUAAAAAAAUGCAUUUCCUGGAACUAGAAUUAACGUCAAAUGUCCUUUUUUUAAUGGAUUUUAUUUUCAACAAUGAAAAAGGCUUUUUGUUUGUUUCUGAUUAUAACAGUAAUGGGAUUAAUGGGGAAAAUGGUGGUAUAAUUGCACAUUUAUCCACGCCCAAUAUUUACUGAAAGGAAGCAAAAGAACCACCUAAGAAAAAGAAAACUUUAUUAAUGCUGAAACUAAACCAGGCUUCAUCUUCAUAAUACAAUCUCUGGAUAAAGGAUGCCGAGGGCAAGUACAUGGUUCUCCUGCUCAUGAGCAUGAUGAGUUGGGCUGUGGGAAGUGGGCAGAGAUGGUGCAGAAGGACCCCAGUGGUGCUUCUCAACUAGAGAAGCAGAUACCAGUCGUAUGAGUGGGCUUCAGCCAGGAUGGAUAUCAUCUUACUUGGAGUGGAGGGGAUUUUGAAAGAAAGACUGUAUGGCUAACUUCCUUAGCAGUAGAGAUCUACAGAUGAACCUUUGUUGAAGCUGUGGACCAGAAAUAAUAGUAUUGACUCAUAAAAUGAAGUGUGCACUAAUCCUUUAAGGAGAAGUCUCAAUAUUGAAAAUAGAUUCUACAUCAGAAGUAGCAAAAUAAGCACAAAUUUAAGAGGUGCCCCACAUGGAACAGAGGAUAGCACAAAAAAUGGAUGAUAAUGAAAGAUUUUUAAAAAAUUCAAAAAG
ensembl:lncRNA